GACGAACGCUGGCGGCGUGCUUAACACAUGCAAGUCGAACGAAGUGGCGAACGGGUGAGUAACGCGUAAUCAACCUGCCCUUCAGAGGGGGACAACAGUUGGAAACGACUGCUAAUACCGCAUACUGAAGGAGGAGUUUGCGUCGGAUUGGCUAGUUGGAGGGGUAACGGCCCACCAAGGUGAUGAUCAGUAGGCGGUCGGGGGGGGUGGACGGCCACAAUGGGACUGGGACACGGGCCAGACUCCUACGGGAGGCAGCAGGGGGGAAUCUUCCGCAAUGGACGGAAGGCUGACGGAGCAACGCCGCGUGAGUGAUGACGGCCUUCGGGGUGUAAAGCUCUGUUAAUCGGGACGCGGUACCGGAAUAGAAAGCCACGGCUAACUACGUGCCAGCAGCCGCGGUAAUUC
rnacentral:rRNA from 1 species